rnacentral:tRNA from 1 species
GUUACUUUGGCAGAUAAUUGUAUUAAAUUUAGAAUUUAAUUAUAUAAUUUUAAUUAUAGGUAAUA